CAACGCGACCCCAGGGUCAGGCGGGGCUACCCGCUGAGUUU
rnacentral:rRNA from 1 species